ACAAUAAGGGUCUGAUCCAAAGCUCAUUAAAGUCAUUGGAAGUCUUUCAAUUGACUUCAGUGACCUUUGGAUCAGAUGCUAAUCGU
rnacentral:pre_miRNA from 1 species